GAGCCGCCUCGGGAGCUGCUGCCGGAGCCGGCGCCCGCCAUGGGCACGGUGCGCGAGGGGAUGCGCUGCAUCAAGAUCCUGCUGUUCAUCUUCAACCUGACCUUCUGGCUGGCAGGAUUGGCUGUCAUUGCCUUUGGUCUAUGGCUGCGGUUUGGUGGGGUUAUGGCAAACUUUGCUUCAGACAAAAAGUCUCCAGAGUAUUUCUUCAUGGGACUCUAUGUAUUGGUGGGAGCAGGGGCUCUCAUGACCACAGUUGGAUUUUUUGGGUGCUGUGGAGCAGCGCGGGAGUCUCAGUGCUUACUUGGAGCAUUCUUUGCUUGCUUGUUGGUGAUAUUUGCAGCUGAGGUCACUGCUGGAGUAUUUGCCUUUAUAGGCAAGAAAGUGGCAAUACAGGAAGCCCAGAAAAUCUAUGAAGACAUUUAUGAUGACUAUAUGAAAAACCCAGGGGGGAAGGUCAAUGGGACUAUCUAUCGCUACCACUUGGCUCUCCAAUGCUGUGGUAAAGAUAAUAUGGAACAACAAAUGGGAUUACCCUGUCCAGAGAAUAUCCAGAUGCCAAAGAACUGCCUGGUUGAAAUCCAGAAUGUAAUUGAUGCUAAUCUGCACUUAGUUGGAAUUGUUGGAAUUGCAAUUGCUGGCAUCGCAAUCUUUGGCAUGAUAUUCAGCAUGGUUCUGUGCUGUGCGAUCCGUAACACAAGAGACAUGAUCUAAAACUUUCACUGCACAACUAUGUCCCAGGAGUUCCAGACUAAGCUUUACAAGAAGUGCUCUUCUACCCAAUUUAAUAAUUGUAAUGCAUUUUAAUUAGUGUUUUAACAUACUGAGAGGAAACUAUCCCAUUAGGACUGGACCCUUCAUGCAAAUGCAGAAAGCUCUGGGGGAGGAAACAUGUCCAAGGAGAUCCAGGCUAAAGGAAGAGGGGGAAAGAGGUGGGAAGCUGGCAAGAUAACACAGUCAUUUGGGAGCAAUUGCAGUGCAAAGUGUGCUUAAGCUUCCCAAGCUAGCCUGAGACACACACACACAAAAAAAAAAUCUAUGAGUUAAAGGGGCCACUAAAAUCUUUAUUCAGAAGUCCCUUUAUCCUGCAAGACUCUAUAUGGUAUAUAUACUGGUGCAGGAGUGGAGCCUAUAUCCAGAAAAGCAGCAGCUUUAUCAGAUACUCUAUAGAAUCUAACUGGCCUGUGGAAGCCAACCGAAGAGUGAAAAUGGUCAGGGAAAGACACGCAGCACUUUAAUAUCCUCUGUUUCUGCUUCUGUGACUAUCACAGCUUCCAUGGGGCUCUUACCUCAACCUCUCACCCUUUCUUGCGGGUGUAAGGCAGGAAAGAAAGAUGGGACAUUUUUACAGAGCCAUAAAGUAAACUUUUACUGGCACCUUUAGAUUGCAUGUCAGGUAUAAAAAUUACACUGUGUGCUUGAAAUACCUCAGGGCUUGCGUUUACAUCGUUUGUUUCUAUAUUUUUAUUUUUCUAUUUGUCAUAUUUAUUCAUAAGAGAAUGUUCCUUUUAAAACAGCCUAGAAGGGAGAAAGUUUGUUCCCAGAAGGGGAAAAUAAAUUACAUCAAAGGCUCAGAAUCUCUUAAUUUUUGGCUUACUUGAGAUAAUUCACCAUUUCAGAGAACAGCUUUUUGCUAACUAUAUCCACAUAGAGCUCUGUCUCUCUGAUGAUCACAAGUUCAGAUUUCUGAUGCAGUUGUUCCAUACAUGAUGGGGAAAAGUUCAGCUAAACUACGUAUCUCAUUGAAAUGGUCCAUGAUGUCUAAGAGGACUUGGCAUUUACAAGUCAUGGGGUCUUUAUUCCACUGAAACACGAUGGAAAGAAAUGGGAUUUCAGAAAAUGUGUGCAUUCUAGUGUGCAUGUUUGUGUGGAAUAUGCAUCCCUCAUGAUAUUUAUCUCUCAUUUCCCAAAGAAACUCAAACUCCCAUCACUUUUCUGUUACUUCAGGAUUGGAAAUAGUGUUGCUGUUCCAUGUAUCAUCUGAUUUAAUUGACACAUCCUACUGUCUUUUACAUAGAUAUCUCUUUUCAAAUUGUUCAGCCGCAAACUGUGACACUGAGACAGCUGUGCACUAAAUGCUGGGUAUGCAGCAGGCACUGCCAACAGUUUCUGGGCCUAGCUUCAGGUACCCAGCUGACAGGGAGACGUUAUAGCGUACGCCCAAGAAGAGUUAGGCUUGUAUCACUCUGUUCGCAGCUGAUUAGCUAUGGAUGCCAUGUAAAAGUAGGGCCUGGGACCUUAUUCUGCAAGCAUCAGACCAGCAAAUAGGGCCCCGAUCUGCUGUCUGCUCCUAAGAAAGGCUCAACUGGGAUAAUAGAUAAUGGGACAGUAUGUAACUGGGGUGUUUUCUCCCAAGGUAAUGCUGACAGAAGGAAGAAACCUGUGUAUAGUGUCAUUUUUGCCAUUCAGAGCAAGACAGCUUUCCAGGAAAACCAGUAAAAAUAGCACAAUAGGAAAGCCAGUGGUUCAGGUUCCAAGAUUAUUGCCCUACAGGGAUAGAAAUUUAUUGCAACAUAAAGCUAUUUCCUUCUGUUACGCUCCCCCUCGUAACGACAGUAUUUUAUUUACUUUAAACACAUCUACAUAUAAUUGGGUUUAAUUCCUCAAAUUUGUAGCACCAGAAUGUAAUGAUAGGACCAGAGUUUACUUCUUUAUUUGUUUACUGUUUCUUGAGUAAGUUGGAAGAUGCCCACUCCUGCUUUUGAGAUGCACUGAAUAAAAAGGCAGCUUGCAGAAACUUCUGUUGCUUCCCCAGCCCCCCACUCCC